rnacentral:lncRNA from 1 species
CUUUUUUGAGAAAACAAAUUAAAGGAGCUGCUUUUAUGAUUGAUUCUGAAAACUACAGAACGAUUUGAAACUGGUCUACAUUUGAAACCACAAUUUUGAUGAUGUUUCUAUUUUCUUUCAUUUCCAAUAAUUUUUUUUUUUUUAGAUAACGACAAUUUUUCUUUUUCUGCAAACAAAGAAGAGCUCAUCCUUCAGAAAGCCCACAUUCCUUUGGAGGGUAAAAUAGAGAUGAAGCAUUACACGUGAUGGGUGAAAAGUGCUUUUUGAAAACCUAAUUAGCAUCUUUUGUGAGAAAUGUGCCUUUGUCAUUGUAAAAAAGAUGAUUAUGGACAGCAGAUGGGAAGGAGUAAUUCUUCAAAAUUUGGAAAUCAGAUGGCAGAGCUGCCUAAGGAGUAACUUUAAAAUGUUUUAGCUCGUCACACAGAAAAACGACCUGAUGCAAUCCUUUUUCUUCGGAAAUGUUUUCCUAUCCUUACUGCUAGGAGAAUUAAUACACUGUCGGGGAUGAUACCGAACAUUAAACGUUGGUUUGUGAGUCGGACUAGACAACCUCUUAAAUUCUUUUCAAAAAUGAAUUUUUAUGUUACUACUGUAGUCAAGGAUGUGGUCAAGGACAUGAGCCAGACUACCUGGAUUGGAAUGCCAGCUCUCAACCCUAGAAUCAGCUCCUAGCCAUAAAUUGCAAACUAGUGGCCUUUUGCAGAGCUGUAACUAUAUAUACUAGUUGAUGUAGAAAAAUGUGGAAAUUUCGCUUUAUCAGUUGCUUUUUCAUUUGAAGGUUCUGGAGAGAGUCAUGAAUGUGCAGGUGUGUGUGUACAUGCAUAUAUGUAUGAUGAUAUCUGUGUAUACAGCCUUACCAUGGAGAUAUUGCUGGUUUGGUUCUAGACCACCAUAAUAAAGCUAAUAUCACAAUAAAACGUCACACGAUGUUUUUGAUUUCCC